UUAGCAGCUCCGUUUUUGCUGGCUUCCCUCGCGUUUAUCAAAUAGUAACAGCGGCCAGAAAUCUGUAGUGCCCACCGCGUGCCCACCUUUUGGCAUUAGGAAAGUUGAUUUGUUGCCAGCCGCUCCUACCGCUAUCUAAACCUUGGAGUUGUGCGCUUGUAUCCACAAGCAUGGAACGGUGACAGGAUCAAGAAACCAGUUCCGCUCAGCUCUCCGCACGUUAUCGUGGACAAUGCUCAACACUCCCACUAGGGGCAUGCUAGGUCUCCUUCCCAAAUUGCUGGUGCGCCUCAGGGGGUGGGGUGGGGUGGAUGCACGAGGCCUGUAAUUCCAUUUCAACUCGUUCCUGGUUCCGGUGAAACAAACGCCGUCUAUUACUGCACCUGCUGCGGAAGGAGUUGUGGUUACGCACCUGAAAAUGACGUGCCCUUCCUUGUAGCACCAGCUUCAGCGUUUUAUAAGUGUUCAAGAAUGAUGGACUAAGGGAAAUUUCAACAAUUUUUUCUCCUUUUUUAAAUUACCCUCUUCUUCCUUUUUUUUCCUUUUCAUGACUUUUUGCAUUGAAGAGAUUAAAGAAUUUUUAUUUUUUAUUUUUCAUUUUUCCCUUCCUGAUUUUUGGUUACAAAAAAUUGAAGAAAGGGAUGAAGAAAGAGAGAAGAAAAUGGAUAGUAGAUUGAAUAUAGUGGAAAAAGACAACAGCGGAAGACUGGGAUGGGAAAUGGAUCGGUCAGAUUUUUUUUAAGAUUUCAAAACAUAGAAGAAGAAAAAGAUGAGGACUUGGCACAAAUAAUAUCAGAAUUACUGAAAAAUGUGUUAGAGAUAACCCAAGAGAAGAUGACUGAUGGCGUAGACAAGGUGUUUCGAGUCUACAUGAGAUACGCAGCGAGAAAUUGACUCCCGAGGGAAGUCCAUGUAAGAUU